rnacentral:rRNA from 2 species
GCGUAUUCUGCUCUUAUGACUGGGCUACACACGUGCUACAAUGGACGGUACAACGAGUCGCGAACUCGCGAGGGCAAGCAAAUCUCUUAAAACCGUUCUCAGUUCGGACUGCAGGCUGCAACUCGCCUGCACGAAGUCGGAAUCGCUAGUAAUCGCGGAUCAGCAUGCCGCGGUGAAUACGUUCCCGGGCCUUGUACACACCGCCCGUCACACCAUGAGAGUUUGUAACACCCAAAGUCGGUGGGGUAACCUUUUAGGAGCCAGCCGCCUAAGGUGGGACAGAUGAUUAGGGUGAAGUCGUAACAAGGUAGCCGUAGGAGAACCUGCGGUUGGAUCACCUCCACCAG